UGCAGCAGAUAGAUGCUCAUUUUUUAUCCCCCAUUGGCUGAACGCCCAAAGGGGGAUUAUGUCGUGGUUAUCUCUGUCUGUUUGUCUGUCUACUCUCUGUCAACU